ensembl:rRNA 5S_rRNA 5S ribosomal RNA
GGCUCCGGCCCUAUCAGCCUGAAGGCGCCCGAUCUCGUCUGAUCUCGGAAGCUAAGCAGGGUCGGGCCUGGUUAGGAUCUUGGAUGGAGACCACCUGGGAAUCCCGGGUGCUCGAGGCU